CCUCCUUUCUUCCGCCGUGGGGAAUAUUGCGCACUGGGCGAAAGCCUGACGCAGCGACGCCGCGUGAGGGAUGAAGGUCUUCGGAUCGUAAACCUCUGUCAGCAGGGAAGAACGGUCACUGUGCUAAUCAGCAGUGAAUUGACGGUACCUGCAAAGGAAGCACCGGCUAACUCCGUGCCAGCAGCCGCGGUAAAACGGAGGGUGCGAGCGUUAAUCGGAAUUACUGGGCGUAAAGCGCUCGUAGGCGGUAUGUCAAGGCAAGGGUGAAAUCCCCGCGCUCAACGUGGGAACUGCCUUUGAAACUGGCAAACUGUAGUGUGUGAGAGGAUAGUGGAAUUCCAGGUGUAGGAGUGAAA
rnacentral:rRNA from 1 species